AUUGAACGCUGGCGGCAGGCUUAACACAUGCAAGUCGAGCGGGGUGAUGGUGCUUGCACUAUCACUUAGCGGCGGACGGGUGAGUAAUGCUUAGGAAUCUGCCUAUUAGUGGGGGACAACAUCUCGAAAGGGAUGCUAAUACCGCAUACGUCCUACGGGAGAAAGCAGGGGAUCACUUGUGACCUUGCGCUAAUAGAUGAGCCCAAGUCGGAUUAGCUAGUUGGUGGGGUAAAGGCCUACCAAGGCGACGAUCUGUAGCGGGUCUGAGAGGAUGAUCCGCCACACUGGGAAUGAGACACGGCCCAGACUCCUACGGGAGGCAGCAGUGGGGAAUAUUGGACAAUGGGGGGAACCCUGAUCCAGCCAUGCCGCGUGUGUGAAGAAGGCCUUAUGGUUGUAAAGCACUUUAAGCGAGGAGGAGUCUCUUUUGGUUAAUACCCAAGAUGAGUGGACGUUACUCGCAGAAUAAGCACCGGCUAACUCUGUGCCAGCAGCCGCCGUAA
rnacentral:rRNA from 1 species